GAUGAACGCUGGCGGCGUGCCUAAUACAUGCAAGUCGAGCGAACAGACGAGUAGCUUGCUCCUCUGACGUUAGCGGCGGACGGGUGAGUAACACGUGGACAACCUACCUAUAAGACUGGUAUAACUUCGGGAAACCGGAGCUCAUCCCGGAUAAUAUAUUGCACCGCAUUGUUCAAUAGUGAAAUACGGUUUUUCUGUCUCUUUUAGCUGGAUCCCCGCCGCAUUAGCUAGUCGGUAAGGUAACGGCUUACUAAGGGAACGAUGCGUAGCCGACCUGAGAGAGUGAUAGGCCACAAUGGAACUGAGACACGGACGAGAGUCCUACGGGAGGCAGAAGUAGGGCAUCUUCCGCAAGGGGCGAGAGCUUGACGGAGCAACGCCGCGUAAGUGAUGAAGGACUUCGGAUCGGAAGACUCUGUUAUUAGAGAAGAACAGAUGUGUAAGUAACUAUGCGCGUCUUGACGGUACCUGAUCAGAAAGCAACGGCUAACUACGUG
rnacentral:rRNA from 1 species